UACGAAGGGGGCUAGCGUUGCUCGGAAUCACUGGGCGUAAAGCGCACGUAGGCGGAUCUUUAAGUCAGGGGUGAGAUCCCAAGGCUCAACCUUGGAACUGCCUUUGAUACUGGGGAUCUCGAGUCCGGAAGAGGUGAGUGGAACUGCGAGUGUAGAGGUGAAAUUCGUAGAUAUUCGCAAGAACACCAGUGGCGAAGGCGGCUCACUGGUCCGGUACUGACGCUGAGGUGCGAAAGCGUGGGGAGCAAACAGG
rnacentral:rRNA from 1 species